AUACGGAGGAUGCAAGCGUUAUCCGGAUUCAUUGGGUUUAAAGGGUGCGCAGGCGGGCUUGUAAGUCAGUGGUGAAAUGCUGCCGCUUAACGGUAGAAUUGCCAUUGAUACUGCAAGUCUUGAAUAUGGUUGAGGUAGGCGGAAUGUGUUGUGUAGCGGUGAAAUGCAUAGAUAUGACACAGAACACCGAUUGCGAAGGCAGCUUACUAAGCCAUGAUUGACGCUGAGGCACGAAAGCGUGGGGAGC
rnacentral:rRNA from 1 species